rnacentral:rRNA from 1 species
GAAGUAAAAGUCGUAACAAGGUUUCCGUAGGUGAACCUGCGGAAGGAUCAUUAUUGAAUUAAAUUGGUAGAGGUUGUUGCUGGCUCUUAAAAGCAAGUGCACACCUCUCCAUCUUUAUUUUCCCUUGUGCACAUUUUGUAGUCUUUAUGAUUAAAAAUAGCUAAUGUUCGAGUCUAACUCGGUUGAGGAGUUGCUGUGCGUAAGCUGGCUCUCCUUGUAAGCUAUCAAUAAUAAUAAAGUCUAUGUUUUACUAUACCCAAAUGAAUGUUACAAGAAUGUAAUCAAUGGACUUAGUUGUCUAUAAAACAAAUACAACUUUCAGCAACGGAUCUCUUGGCUCUCGCAUCGAUGAAGAACGCAGCGAAAUGCGAUAAGUAAUGUGAAUUGCAGAAUUCAGUGAAUCAUCGAAUCUUUGAACGCACCUUGCGCUCCUUGGUAUUCCGAGGAGCAUGCUUGUUUGAGUGUCAUUAAAUUCUCAACCCCUUCGAAGUUUUUUUUGUUGGGAGUUGGAUGUGGGAGAUGCAGGCUUUUCCAAGUCUGCUCUUCUUAAAUGUAUUAGCGGAACCAUUGUGGGACGUCUAAUAGUGUGAUAAUUAUCUACGCUAUAGGUGCUUACAAAAUUAAUAGGGUUUAGCUUCUAAUAGUUCAUUUAUUUGAACAAUAUCAUUAUUAAUGAUUAUUUUGACCUCAAAUCAAGUAGGACUACCCGCUGAACUUAAGCAUAUCA